CCUACGGGAGGCAGCAGUAGGGAAUAUUGCUCAAUGGGGGAAACCCUGAAGCAGCAACGCCGCGUGGAGGAUGAAGGUUUUCGGAUCGUAAACUUCUUUUGUUAGAGAAGAUAAUGACGGUAACUAACGAUUAACCACCGGCUAACUCCGAGCCAGCAGCCGCGGUAAUACGGAGGGUGCAAGCGUUAAUCGGAAUGACUGGGCGUAAAGAGCGCGUAGGCGGGAUAGCAAGUCAGAUGUGAAAGCCUAUGGCUUAACCAUAGAACUGCAUGUGAAACUGUUAUUCUAGAGUAUGGGAGAGGUAAGUGGAAGUCUUGGUGUAGGGGUAAAAUCCGUAGAGAUCAAGAGGAAUACUCAUGGCGAAGGCGACCUGCUAGAACAUAACUGACGCUGAUGCGCGAAAGCGUGGGGAGCAAACAGGAUUAGAUACCCCUGUAGUC
rnacentral:rRNA from 1 species